UACGUAGGGGGCUAGCGUUGUCCGGAAUCAUUGGGCGUAAAGAGCGUGUAGGCGGCUCGGUAAGUCCGCUGUAAAAGUCAAAGGCUCAACCUUUGAAUGUCAGUGGAUACUGCCGGGCUAGAGUCCGGAAGAGGCGAGUGGAACUCCUGGUGUAGCGGUGAAAUGCGCAGAUAUCAGGAGGAACACCAAUGGCGAAGGCAGCACUCUGGGACGUGACUGACGCUGAGACGCGAAAGCGUGGGGAGCAAACAGG
rnacentral:rRNA from 1 species